CAUCAACCCCUUUUGUUACCUACAUGGAAUUUUUGCUUAUAAAAACGAGAAAAAAGAGGAUAAAAGGAUAAAGUCACCCUUUUGACUUCAAGAAGAGAGCAGAAGUCUGACCGUCUGAUAAAAAAGAUAAAAAAAGACCACGAUAUUUUUCACCUAAAGUGCUAUAAAAAUAUUUAAUCACGAAUCAUGCUGACUUAAUUCGACUUAAGAUUAGCUAAGACCUUCAGUCCUCAAAACAUAAUUUUAUCCGAUAGAUGAAUCAAUUUUCUAGAAGAUUAGCUAGCUUUAAAUGCUUAAUUUAAUUUUAUUGUGCCUAAAAUAAGGUUUGAGCAAAGAAGGUCAGAAAUAAAACGUAAUGAAAUGGACAG